CAAUAUUUUACUAUGUUCUUAACUUAACUUAGACAAAUGAAUACAUACCUAUCUUUAUUCUAUGCAUACACUUAUCUUUGUACAGCGCGUCAUGAAUGUGUUAGCAUUUAGCCUAGCACCAUUCAUUCCUUAGGAUCCAAACAGGGAUGAAUUUAGAAGCCACCAAACACUUCCAUGUUUUCCAUAUUUAAAGACUGUUACAUGAGUAGUUACACGAGUAAGUAUGGUGGCACGUUGUGAUUUUUUAAGUGGAUAAAAAUGAGAAUUAUAUUGUAUGGCGGAAGAGCACUUAGUUUGCAGCACUUAGACAUCGGGUGCAGUAAUAUUGACAGAAGUCUGAGCGAGAGGGGGAGGGGUCAGGAGUGAUAUCUACUUAAAAAAUUGCCAUGUUUUAUUUUGUGCCACCAUACUUACUUUGUAUUAUAUUUUUAACUUUUUACAUAUUAAAAUAUACUGUAAAAAGUCAUUCUGCAGGCUUGUAGAUUUGAUGAAAUUGAAUAUGUAAACUUUAUUUAAUAAAAUUAAUUUCAUGUAGUUUGGUCUUUUUUUGUGUUAAAAUUCUUUAAAAAUGACUGGAAUAAAAACAACUUAUUGUUUUUAUGAAGGAUUUAGCUAUUCUUAUUGUGUAUCUCCGCAUGUAGCGAAUACUGAAUAAAUCCAACAUAAUAUUAAUCAGCUGUUUCAAAUCAAAAACCAUUCCGGGUUGUAUUGCAGGUCGUGAGCGCUGAGCAGACGGAUUUAGGAAAUAUUUCUGUUAUUGUGCCAAAAUUCAAAGUUUUGAAACUAUUUCAGUCGAGAAUGUAUGUUUUUUAAACAAGAAUCUGCAGUAGGUUCAUAAAGAUAUCGCCUAUUUAAACAUUUCCUUCGAGUUUUUUGGUGAUGGGACCUCCAGAUAAUCAGCGGGCGCUCCGCGCGUAAAUAUACCGGACAACGUCGCCUCACCUCAGCCAGUCUCGUUGAAAAUCUCCGCUGGCUGUGACGUCAAUGUAGUGUUUAAACUGUGGAUAAAAUUCAUUUCGGGUAAAUUUAACGGGCAAUCUUUAGUCUUAUAAAUCUAUAAGCAGUGUUUCUUUGUAUAAUUUGUUUGUAAUUUGUAAAUAUUAAUUACAAUAAGGAUUAAUAUGAACUGGGUUUGGACGUAACUUCAGCUUUAGGACCCAGGAGGUCGCAUAUCUAGGAUGCAUUCGUCGAUUCGCAUGCUGCGAUUGGUGGUCCAGAUGCAACUCAUUUUGAGUGACAGAAAAACUGACCAAUCAUACUGUUCCUCUGAAUGGGUGGGUUCUCUUAUCACUUACUCUCAUAGAUGUAAUAUGUAUGUAUCUAUUAUGACAAAUUCUGCUCGCUCGCUCGCUUGGUUCGUGUUAUAAAAAUAAAUGUGACUUUACUGCGGUCUUUUUCGGUUUAUUUAGUUUUGUGUUAACUAUAUCCACAAAGUAUUCGAAUAAAUUGGUAAUAUAAAACUAUUCUUCGCUGUAAAUUAAUUGUGUGCUCAAUUGCGACGCCCUGUGUUGAAUUUUCCCGCGAGUACAGUAUCAUUACUGAGGGGAAAUAUAACAUUAUUCAUUUAAUUCCACAAAAGGCCUGUAACGUACUGCAGCUUCCUGCAGGCAACGUGAAACAUUGCUGAGGGAGAACUUUAUUCACAACAAAAGGAUAAAGAUGAAGAUGAGGGACUUGAGCAGCUUGUGAUGGCUGUAAUUGUAAAGAAUGGAUCUUCUAGGAGUGGAAGCCCAAAGGAUGCUGGAAUUGUUAUUGAGGCCUUAAAGGUGUUCACAGGGCAUGCUUUAUCCUUGGAUCUAUGCAUUGAAUCUCCAGUAUCCCAGGCAUCUUUUCAGGUGUUUCAGAAACUUUUCUUGGAGCUGGAUUCUUCAAAGUUUAUGAACUGAUUACAGUACAGUAAGUCUAAACUGCUGUCUGAUUUUCUGGGUGUGAAUCAAUGUACACAAACAUGGAACCUUGUGGACGGGAAA